GACGAACGCUGGCGGCGUGCCUAAUACAUGCAAGUAGAACGCUGAAGAGAGGAGCUUGCUCUUCUUGGAUGAGUUGCGAACGGGUGAGUAACGCGUAGGUAACCUGCCUUGUAGCGGGGGAUAACUAUUGGAAACGAUAGCUAAUACCGCAUAACAAUGGAUGACACAUGUCAUUUAUUUGAAAGGGGCAUUUGCUCCACUACAAGAUGGACCUGCGUUGUAUUAGCUAGUAGGUGAGGUAAUGGCUCACCUAGGCGACGAUACAUAGCCGACCUGAGAGGGUGAUCGGCCACACUGGGACUGAGACACGGCCCAGACUCCUACGGGAGGCAGCAGUAGGGAAUCUUCGGCAAUGGGGGCAACCCUGACCGAGCAACGCCGCGUGAGUGAAGAAGGUUUUCGGAACGUAAAGCUCUGUUGUAAGUCAAGAACGGGUGUGAGAGUGGAAAGUUCACACUGUGACGGUAGCUAACCAGAAAGGGACGGCUAACUACGUG
rnacentral:rRNA from 1 species